AUUGAACGCUGGCGGCAUGCUUUACACAUGCAAGUCGAGCGGCAGCGCGGGGGCAACCCUGGCGGCGAGCGGCGAACGGGUGAGUAAUGCAUCGAAACGUAUCCUCGAGUGGGGGAUAACCCAGCGAAAGUUGGGCUAAUACCGCAUGAGCUCUGAGGAGGAAAGCGGGGGACCUGCGAGGGCCUCGCGCUGGAGGAGCGGCCGAUGUCCGAUUAGCUAGUUGGUGGGGUAAAGGCUUACCAAGGCGACGAUCGGUAGCUGGUCUGAGAGGAUGAUCAGCCACACUGGGACUGAGACACGGCCCAGACUCCUACGGGAGGCAGCAGUGGGGAAUUUUGGACAAUGGGGGCAACCCUGAUCCAGCCAUGCCGCGUGAGUGAAGAAGGCCUUCGGGUUGUAAAGCUCUUUCGGACGGAACGAAAUGGGCGGGACUAAUACUCCUGUCUGAUGACGGUACCGUAAGAAGAAGCACCGGCUAACUACGUG
rnacentral:rRNA from 1 species